CAAACAUUUUAGUCCAAGUUUCUUGGAACACACUCCUCUUUCUCCAGCAUCUGCAAAAAUAAAUAAAUAAAUAAAACAAACCUUAAAAAAGCCCAAUGCCAUGUCUGUACCAGGUUGCCACCAUGUCUAUAAUUCUCAACAUUGGGCUCUCAGCGCCCGCGGCGCAAUUUAGCAUUACAUUGUUGCUAUCCCCGCAAUCAUAACGCCGAACCUUCCCCCUUCUCUCUCUCUCUCUCGCUCUCAUUCCUUUUCAGUUUUCUCUCUCUAGAAAAGUUUUUCCCCGUCUAUACAUACACCAGUCUGUAUCUAUAUACCAACCUUAACUACAUGGAAUUAGGAAUUCUGCCGCUCCAAAAAUUUUUAUCCUUUAUUAUUUAUAUAUAUAAACUGGCCUAUACAUACACUUUGAUGUAUCUAUAAGUAUGCGUAUAUAAAAUUAUACUCUUUAUUUUUAUCUUUCUCUCUCGUCGACUCACAGAGCAGUUAGAGAGAGAUGGUUUUGGAACAGAGAUCCCUAUUCUGAUUGUGCUUCUCUCUGAACGCCAAGAAUCGUGAAUCUUCAAGUAAAGGAACGAUUUUCUUCUAUUUUCGUCAUUUAAGUACGAAUUUGCGUUGAUUGGCGGUGGAAAUUUAUCUGCUUUGACUGUCUGUGGAGGUUUCGUAUGCUGUUGGAAGACUUUGUAAUCGUGGUUAGGGUUUUGAAUUGAGUGAAUUUGGGUGAUUUUGGGAGUGUGCCAGGAGGAUGAUAAUAAAGAAGAGCUUGAAAUCGGUAAUGCCGAUUUUGAAACGGUGCCGAGUCCGAGACUCGGCGGGUGAUGACGACGAGUCGUCGACCAAUCGGAAGAAACGGAAAAUUGCUACUAGUUAUUAUCCUCUGCAUCUUCUUGGAGAGGCUGCCGCUGGUAUAAUUCCAUUCAACAGCUAUGGAAUUCACAAAAUCCUCUCUAACUCCGGCCCCGCGGAUAUUGGAGGUGACAGAGACGGCGGCGCGGCUUCGGAACCAAGGUGUGUAAAGUCAAAAUCGAAGGAAGUCUCCCGGCCACCGCUAGUGAGAACUUCGAGGGGGAGGGUUCAGGUGUUGCCGUCACGAUUCAAUGAUUCAAUUCUUGAUAAUUGGAAGAAAGAGAAGAAUAUUAGUAAGAAUGCGGCAAGAGACUCUGCUUUGGAUACAGAAUAUUUACCUGCCAAAGAGAAGGAUAACAAAUUCAGCUACAAAACCCCGAGGAUUCGUGGGGAUGCAACCAUUAGUAGGAAGCGGAAUGAGGAGAAGAUAAAUAGCUACCAAUGUCGUAAAUUUUCGCCAUUGUCAGAGGAUGAGAUAGCAGAACUGAGGAAUGACGGAUUCAGAAGUUGUGAUGUUAAGAAGUAUAUCGGUUCACGAGAUUCAUUGACGACAUUACAGGAACAGUUGGAGGACGAUGAAGAGCUGGAAGAGUAUGUACAAAUAAGCGGAGUUGAUAAAUUGUAUAGUUCAAAGGAUUUUGUUGAAGGUGACGUAGUGUGGGCGAUAUCCGGGAAGCAUUGUCCUGCUUGGCCAGCCAUCGUGCUUAAUCAAGAGUCCCAAGUUCCCCAGCAAGUUUUCAACUUUCGUGUUGCUGGAUCAGUUUGUGUCAUGUUCUUUGGUUAUUCUGGAAAUGGAACACAAAGGGAUUAUGCAUGGAUUAAAAGCGGGAUGAUAUUUCCGUUUGUAGAUUAUGUAGACAGAUUUCAGGGGCAGACUGAACUUAAUGAUAGCAAACCUGGUAAUCUUCGCUCUGCUAUAGAGGAGGCAUUUCUAGCAGAAAAUGGCUUCAACGAAAUGUUGAUGGUUGAAAUCAAUGCAGCAGCUGGCAAUUUGGAUUAUCUUCGUUCUCUUACAAGAGGGGUCUUCGAGGCUUCUGAUUCAAAUCAGGAUCAACAUUGUGACUCUGUGGAACAGCAGGACAUACAUAUGAAGAAAGAAUCACGAUCUUGUGAAGCCUGUGGCGUGAGCAUGGCACCUAACUUGUCAAGGAAAUCGAAUAAUUCGGCUGCUGGUACCAAUCGUUUGUGUACUUCUUGUGCCAGGUUAAAGAAAAUGAAACACUAUUGUGGCAUAUGCAAAAAGAUACGGAAUCAAUCAGACAACGGAACUUGGGUGCGGUGUCAUGGUUGUAAAGUUUGGGUCCAUGCAGAGUGUGACAAAUUUUCAAAUAACAAUUUCAAGGAUCUGGGAACCAGUGAUUAUUACUGCCCUGAAUGCAAAGCUAGGUUCAAUUUUGAACUAUCAGAUUCAGAAACUGUGCAGGUUAAAGCUAAAAAUAACAAAAAGAAUGGCAAAUUCGCAUUGCCUGACAAGGUUGCUGUUGUGUGCUCCGGCGUGGAGGGAACUUAUUUUCCAAGUCUUCAUUUAGUUGUUUGCAAGUGUGGGUCUUGUGGAGCAGAAAAGCAGGCACUCAGUGAAUGGGAACGUCACACUGGUUCCAGAACUAAAAAUUGGAAGUCUAGUGUCAGGGUGAAAGGUUCCUUGAUACCUCUCGAACAAUGGAUGCUACAGAUGGCUGAGUAUCAUGAGCGUAGUCUUGUUCCUGCUAAAUCUGUCAAACGUCCUUCUAUCAAAGUGCGGAAGCAGAAGUUGCUUAACUUCUUGCAAGAACAUUAUGAACCUGUUCAUGCCAAGUGGACUACAGAGAGGUGUGCAGUGUGUCGAUGGGUUGAAGAUUGGGAUUUUAACAAAAUAAUAAUUUGCAUUAGAUGUCAGAUAGCUGUUCAUCAAGAAUGCUAUGGCGCAAGAAAUGUUCGUGAUUUCACUUCAUGGGUCUGUAAAGCCUGUGAAACACCUGAUAUUGAGCGGGAGUGUUGCCUCUGUCCUGUGAAAGGUGGUGCGCUGAAGCCUACAGAUGUUGCACCAUUAUGGGUUCAUGUUACUUGUGCUUGGUUUCAACCUGAAGUUUCUUUUGCAAGUGAUGAGAAGAUGGAACCUGCUCUUGGAAUAUUGAGAAUUCCUUCAAGCUCUUUUGUAAAGAUUUGUGUAGUUUGCAAACAAAUUCAUGGUUCCUGUACACAAUGUAGCAAGUGUUCCACCUAUUACCAUGCAAUGUGUGCAUCAAGAGCAGGGUACCGUAUGGAGUUGCAUUGCCUGGAAAAGAAUGGGAAACAAAUUACAAAAAUGGUCUCAUAUUGCGCCUAUCACAGGACACCUAAUCCAGAUACAGUUCUGAUCGUAGAGACCCCUAAGGGGACUUUCUCCGCAAAAAGCAUGCUUCAAAGCAAAAGGCACGCAGGUGCAAGGCUGAUUUCAACAAGCAGGUUGAAACUUGAGGAACCUACUUCAGUGGAUAUUGAGGAGGUUGACCCAUUUUCUGCUGCAAGAUGUCGUGUCUUCAAAAGAGCAAACAAGCAGACGAGAAAGGAGGCCAUUGCGCAUCAAAUUAUGGGACCGCGUCAUCAUUCUAUGACUGCAAUACAAAGCUUGAACGCGAAUAGAAAAAUAGAGAAGCCUAGGAUCUUCUCCACCUUCAGAGAGCGACUUCACCAUCUACAGAAAACAGAAAAGGAUAAAGUGUGCUUUGGUAGAUCUGAAAUACAUGGAUGGGGCCUCUUUGCACGUAGGGACAUCCUAGAAGGAGAAAUGGUUGUUGAAUAUCGUGGUGAGCAGGUCAGACGCAGUGUUGCAGAUCUUAGAGAGGCACGCUAUCGUACAGAGGGGAAAGACUGCUAUCUAUUCAAAAUCAGUGAAGAAGUUGUGGUGGAUGCUACAGAUGCAGGAAAUAUUGCUCGGUUGAUCAAUCAUUCGUGUAUGCCUAACUGCUAUGCAAGGAUCAUGAGUGUAGGUGACGAUGAGAGCCGGAUUGUACUUAUUGCCAAGACAAAUGUGCCUGCCGGUGAUGAACUAACGUAUGACUAUUUGUUUGAUCCUGACGAGCCUGACGAAUUCAAAGUCCCUUGCCUGUGUAACGCUCCAAAUUGCAGAAAAUUCAUGAACUAAGCAACAACACAGUAUAACCAUUGUUUUCCUUGAAAGGGAUCCUAACCAUCUUCGGUCUGCACCAGACUCACCAGAUAUUUUAUAUAGCCAACCAACGACAGCCUUUGCACACCGGGUGAAGAGCUUCAGGCAUUUUUAUGGAUGGCAGAAAAGCAGCACAUAAACCGUGUUAAAAAUGGCAUUCAACUUUUUCUUAUUCUUUGACAGAGAAACAAAAGAAUUGUUCAUUACUUUGUUAAA